rnacentral:lncRNA from 1 species
AUUAGUGAUUUAAUCUCUAAUUAUUUAUAUACAUAUGUCUUCAUAUGUAAUUAGGAUCAUUGUGUGUGUCUAAGUCUUCACUUGACACCAAGCACUUGUCCGAUCCUUCCGUACGAUAACAACCCGUUCAAUUCCAGUCACAUACUGCAGGUGAGUUCAUACCCCUUAACUAAUGUUUUAAACUAUUUUAAAUGUUUUAGGGGGGGGAUACAAGUAGAAUCAUGCUACUUAUUAUGUCAAUCACAUGUGAUUAGUAAGUAGGAUUAUAUUACUUAUUACAUCAAUCACAUGUGAUUAAUAUACAACAUUCAAAAGAUUUGGCUACUCAUUAGCCGUUUUACCAAACAGUUUCCUUCAAAUGAUUUUUAUAAACAUUUUAUAUGUUUUAAACUCCUUAUUACACUGUACCUCUUACUCUGUUUAUCAUAUUUCAAACUUAUUUACAACUGUGUUUCAAACAAAUGUUCCUUAUACUUAUAUUGUUUUAUCAAACUUAUGCCUUCAAAUUGUUUUAUAGAUUGACAUCAAGUCGAUCUUUCCUUAAACUAAUAUUUAUGUUUCAAAUGUUUUACCAAACUUAUUUAUGCUUUUAUAUUAUAAAUUGCAUGCCUCUAUAUGUAUAGUUAUAUAAGAAAUGUUUAAAAGACUUAGGAAGGCUAUCCACCCUAUUUCCUUUUCGCGCCUUGAGAUGUGGUCUGGUGGGAUAUCGGAUACUCGUCCGAAGGUCGUUUAAAUAUUAGUUAUAUAUCAUGUGUACAUAUAUAGUCAUAAAAGGUCCUUCCAGUUCAUCCUAUGCCCUUGGGUAGCAAGGGUAUACAUCCACGUCCAUACGUACCACUUAGAUUACUAGUAAGCUACCAUAUGGGUAGUUCAGGAAGAUACUAGAACCAUUACUAGAACGCAAUAUCAUACAAUGAGUCAGUUCAUUCAUGAGUCAAUACUUUCUAUAACAUUACUGUACAUUACAUAUACAACUAUACUAGGGCGAGAUCAUAUACAUCUAAACUAGGAUGAGAACAUAUACAACUAUACUAGACGUUUACAUUACUAUACUUGCUAGAUAGAGAAAACACACGUUACAGCUAGCACACGUAGAACCUUACAAUACUCUAAUAUAAUAUUUAAAUGAUCACACUUAUAGGAGUACUUUUGCAUAGAUAUAUAAGGAGGAGUCCUAUUACAUUUUAUAUGUACCGACUCUGUUAUCAAAUCCUCAUUCUUACCUUUACCUUGUGAUACAAUCACAUAUUCGACGAGAUAGAAUGGAUUUAUUAUCCUAGUACCAAAGGAUACGAUUGUGGGAUUGACCAUUCCUAGAAUCUCUGUUAGCUACAGAGGUAAAAGCACAUCCACGGAUGUCAAACGGUUGGUACCAUUACAGGUACACUUUAAGGGAUUAACUAUUCCUAUACCCAGCUGUUAGCAACAGAGGUAAGAGUACGUCUACGGAUGUCUUAAAGUUAACAAUGAUAGUUACCCUAGUACCAAAGGGUAAUAUUCAGGUUAGUUAUAUUAUUACCUUUAUUUUGUGACUCAUUCACAUAACCAAUGAGGUGAAUUAUAUUUAGGUAUCCUAGUACCAAAGGAUACAAUUUUCUUAUAAUGAUAGUUAUACUUUGGAAAAUACUUACUCUUACAAGAGACACACACACAGAACAGUUAGGUCUUGGUAGAAGACACCUUCAUAUACUAGAAGGAAUCAUAGGGAUUCUAGGGUUUUUCAAACACUUACAAUUCAUAUACACUUUCAAAUUCUUACAAUACAUAGACUUACAAAUUCUUACAAACAAAUUAAGACACUAAAUACUUAUGAUCUCACCAGCUUCAAAGCUGAUACUCGCUUUCAAAAUUACUUGUAUCCUCAGGUCAUCAUAGACAGGUACCGAUGCAAGGAGAAAGGAAGAUGGAGCUUGUUCAAGACUUAUCUUUCAUUUUGAUUUAUGCUUUAGUGUUUAUCAAAAUUUGACAGAACACAAUUGUAUAAUAAUUAUUUUAUUAAUGCAAUGGAUGAUGUUGUUGCUUGUUUACUACUUUACAUUGUUGUUGAUAUUAUACAUGACGUCCUCCGCCCCAGAACGUUUCCGCCGUUCUUGGUUUUGGGGUGUGACAGAUUGGUAUCAGAGCAUUGUUUAUAGUGAAUUAAGUAUAUCAACCCAUAAAAGAUAUACUAACUAUAAAUACAUAAGGGAUUAAAAAUACUCUGACCAAGAGUUUAUACUUUAAAUAAUAAAAUAUUUAAUAAAGUAUACUUGCUGCAUUCAUACUAAAAUCAGUGUCACUAGGGCAGUGCAAAAGAAUUACGAUUGUUGGGCAACACAAGUGGGCUUAGAGACAUAUGGUCAAAACUGGGAAGAUAUAGCCUGAUCGCCUAUAUUAUCCGAGGGUUGACUAGCAUGUGCCUAAGUUUAAGGGUGUGGUUGCAACAAUGCUAAAAUCUUACCAACCCUACCACAAUGAGAACAAUAGAACAUAACAUUAAAAUUAAAAUACUAUAGGAGUAUUUGGUGUUACUAUAAGUACUUUAUACUUGAGAACUAAAACGGGAUCUUCAUUACUAAGUUGAUAGUUGCUAAGUGGAUACACUAAGGCUAUAUGUAAUUAGGAUGUUAUAGACUUAGAAUCUGUGAAAAUUUUACUUCACCCCUAUUCUGUGUGAAUAUGGAGUUAAGGUCACUUAUUCGAAGGUCUAUCCUGUUUAGAUUACACAUAGCUGGUAUGCACUUCACAAAUAGCGAUGUAACUAAUGAAGGUUUUCUAAAUAAUUAUCUAGAUAGUUCGUCUAAUAAUUAUCCUCUUACCCUAAAUUCUCGCAUAGAAAUCAUAGCUGGACUCCAUCCCCUUGACAACCAGUAUCUUCCGAAUGAAGUCAUAGCUGGUUGGUUUGGAGAAGAACCAGAGAAUGAUCAUCAUAUCCCCUUGGAUGAUCACCAUGAUAAAGACUUUUCGUAUGAUGCUAACCCCGAACCAGAGGUUGAGACGCUACCCCGAGCAGCUCCCGUUUCAAUUCCUAACCCUGUUCCGGCUUUUCAUAGCCCGACCCUGAGUGAGUGGAAUGCUUAGAAACAGGGAGACAAGGACAAGAUCAGUUUAUGCUAUUUGAUGGCGACCGAAGCUUUUACGACUUCAGCAAUGGGGGCUCAGCAGAUAGAGUCUUGCCAAUCUUGGUCCGCAGAAGGGCCCAAAAUGAGAUUCAAUGCAGGACAGCCCUAUGUCAGAUUACGGAAGUAGUCGCCUAUGCUAGAAUGCAUACCCUCCACACCAUUCGUCUAGCAUAUACUCAUGAGAGAUCAGAGAGAAACCAUGAAACCCUGUUGCAAGCACUGGCUGAAUCACGAGCCAAAGUCAUAAGAGCUCCGCGUACGCUAGAUGGUGUUCGAAAGACACCUACUUGACAUGGAACGUCAAUUGGUUGAACUAAGAGUUCACCAGAGGGAUGACCGUCGCCCGUAGUAGACGCUUUACUUUAUUUCCCUUAUAAAAAGAAAUCGUGUUUUUCUGUCUAUGCCCGAUGUGGUAUUUUCUAUGAAAUUAUCUUUUACCGUAAGUACUUUAGUUAGGUCUUUAUGCUGUCAGGAACUAUCUUCAGUGGAUAUGAUGUGAAACCUUUAAAAGGUCAUUUUCCAGAAUCCUUACAUCGUGAAUAUCAAAAAUAUUGACAGUCGGCUAACUUCUGUGUCAUUCUUCAUCCAAGUACUUUUAUCUUACUUUCAUUGGAGUCUAUCUGAAUCAUACUUUAGUCAAUUCAUUGGACUAUGGUGAUUUAUCUCCAGAGGCAUUUCCAAGUCUCUUUCAGUGGUUGGAUCUUGUUAUUCACCAACCCACGAUACCUCAGCUCGAACGACAAACGUCUUGAGACCAUUCUACGAACAUACUUCCAUUCCGUACUAGGACUGCAUCAUANCAAACAUACUUUCAUUCUUUACUAGGACUGCAUCAUAGAGAUGUAGGUCAAACUUUCGAGAACAUACUCUUACUCUUUGCGUGAACAAUCUAAGUACAUCAGGGUCAACCAGAAUCGCUCACAAAUCCGUAUCUUUAGUGUUACAGGAUCAUGUCGUCAUCCAGAAACAACCAGCCAAGCAACGAGACCUCUACUUUUCCUAUGGACGCGACUACUUUUCAAGCCACCGUUACAGCUGCCGUGAUGGCUGCCGUGACAGCAGUCCUGGCAAACCGCAGCACUUCCAAUGUAGACAAGGCUGAAAAAGGAGUUGAAAAUCCCGAUCGUGUUAAUAAUCCGGGGAAUCAACAAAUAGUAACAGUCGCCACCACCCGAAACAACAACUCAGAGUUCAAGAAAAGAAAACGUCAAGCCAAGGUGGAACGCAAACGGUUUCAGAGAAUUGCCAUGCAACAACCACAAACCUCUGCCAUCCCAGUACCGAGCAGACCAUAUAAAGGAACACUCCCGAAGUGCGACCGGUGCAACCACCACCACAAGGGAAUUUGCCAAGCCCGGCAAUGCAAUAAUUGCCACAAGAUGGGACACAUUGCUCAUUUCUGUAGGAUUACCUCCACCACUGGAGCAAGCCUACUUUGCUAUAGUUGUGGUGAGACAGGGCACUAUUACAGAAAUUGCCCAAAAAGGGAGAUCAAUGAAAGCAGUCGCAUCCCCAUAACUCCUACCCGAUGUUUCACUUCCUCCACUGAUGUGGGUACUGUCCGGAUAUGUCACCAAUGCGAUGAAAUUGGACACCUCCAGAAGGAUUGCCCGAUAACGCAGAACUCUGGCGCAGAUGGGAGGAUUCUCAGGAUCACAGCUGUAGGAGAACCUGCUCAGGAACCACGUUAAUGUAAUUAAGGCGUUUCGUUGUAACAGACUUAUAAACUAUCUAGAACUAGUGCAACUAGAGUCUUACCUUUUGCGAGAUCCUGUCUGUAUAGGAAUUCUCGUGUUGCGUAUACUUGUCUUUUGUAGUAUAUCUUAUUCGCAGCAAUAGUCUUGUGGUAAAUCUAAAGUACUGUAACUCUGUUCAUGGUUGCACGGUUGUCUCUUGUCUGUAAACGUCUUAUGUUCAAAUCUAAUGCCUUUAAAUUUCAGUAUGAUUCCGACUUUAUCAUACGACUCGAUUUAAAAUGAUCCUCACGAAAACAGCUUCAUACUUACAUCUCUAUCUUCUAGAUCACUUUUCCAGCGACCCGUCAUAUCAGAACGCUGAAGUACUCAUGCCAUGAGUACCUCUUAGUUAUUUUCUUUCCAAAAAAAAAUCCCCAAAGUACCACUCGUGCAGUAUGUCAAGUUCAAUCCAGGAAUUCAUGCGGAUGAUCUAUCACUAAGGAAGGUAUACAUAAGAGUGUUAUAUAAUCAAGGUUCUACAGGUUUAGAAUUAAUGAUUUCGCCUUAACUCUUUUCCUCAUUGGGAUGUGAGGGUAAGGAAGAAUCAGUUAUUCGACUACCUUUUCAAUCUUAAUUAUAUACGACUCGUAUACACGAAAUUGUGAUCGUGAAGCCCUGUAUGAAUUCUAAAAUGGACUUCAGGUCGGAGAAACUACCUAAGUAUACGAGUAAUCACAUCGUCAUGUGAAAAAACUUAGAACCCAGUACGACUCCCGAAAACAGAUCACCCUAUAGUUUAAACACCCACGGAGAUACAAGAACAAUACAAACAACUGAGCGAACUACACAGAAAUAGAAUUAGAAGACUAGGUUUCUCACCCUAGAGAACCCCGGUCAGAUUCUUCCAGAGAUCGAUGGAUCGCAUCGUAUGUGCCUCGGAUAUCGAGGACUCCGUCAAGAUUUUCAUAGAAAUCGUUAUCUCUGCCUCGCAUAGACAAAAUGGUUGAGCAAACAUAAGGAAAGAAACUACUCCCAGAAAUGGAUCUGACAUCCGAAUAUCACCAGUUCGAGUGUUAUGGAAGGAUGUUCGGGAGACUAUCUCCUGAACUCGAUACGGACACUUCGAGUUCGUAGUGAUACCCUUUCGGAUAGGACCAAUACGCCCAUAGUUUUCAUGUGCUAAAUGAUUAGGGUUACGUCUUUCUUACUUGGAUUGAUUCGUCAUUUCUCCAUGUAAUGACUUACUUAUCUACCCUCGUAGUAAGAAGAAAACCCAUGGAAACAUUUCCUACAGAGGAACUUUAGCGAAGUUCUCUAAACACGAGUUUUGAAAUUGAAGAGUCAAAUUUCUAUGGCACACUGUUAGUAAUGUGAGAAAUUANAAUUUUGAGUACUCUUUCAAUUUGUCAAAAGCCAUUGAGCAUUUAUCGACACCAGAGACACCGACAAUUUUUGCCAAAUUCUAGGUCUUACCGACCUACUGCUUUAGUUCAUUCAGAACUCCUCGCAAGCUACAGAAACUCGUACGACUUUGACCUAGCGAGGGGUGGCCUUUAACUGGGAAGUUACGCAAGAAAAGGAACCUUUGAGAUUCCGAGUGAGUGACCAAGUUCUUUAGGAUAACUCACUCUGGGAAUGGCUUAAUACGCUUCGUAAAGCGUGGAAAGCUAAAUCCAAGUUAGACAGGACCUCCGAGAUUCUUAUCAGAAUCGGUCCUGUGCCUCGCACAAACUAGACCUACUCCGCGAACUCANNNNNNNNNNNNNNNNNNNNNNNNNNNNNNNNNNNNNNNNNNNNNNNNNNNNNNNNNNNNNNNNNNNNNNNNNNNNNNNNNNNNNNNNNNNNNNNNNNNNNNNNNNNNNNNNNNNNNNNNNNNNNNNNNNNNNNNNNNNNNNNNNNNNNNNNNNNNNNNNNNNNNNNNNNNNNNNNNNNNNNNNNNNNNNNNNNNNNNNNNNNNNNNNNNNNNNNNNNNNNNNNNNNNNNNNNNNNNNNNNNNCUUGCCUAAAUUCUAAUUUCGGGACGAAAUUCCCUUUAACAGGGGGAUGAUGUGACAACCCGAAAUUUUCCAUUCAAAUCAAACCAUAUCAAGCCAAUAGAUGUAGAGCAGUUAUAGUGAAAAUUCAGACUUAUGGAAUAUGUUUGGCAGUUUUCAAGGUUUUACACCUAAGGAGUUAUUAAGAGAGUGGAUGCACUAGGAUUUUGUGCAACACUGUAAUUCCAUUACUCUAGGUCAUUAGAAUCCAUUCCGAGAAUAGAAAUAUUUUCUGCCAAAAAUCUCAGGACUAUAAAUAGAAUUCUGAACCAAAUUGGUUCAUUAGUUGAAUUCCAAUUAGAGAAAAGCCAANCCUAGCACUUGACCAAAAGUGUUGUCCUCGCGCUUAAAUGUUAUUACUUGUAUAAUUAGUGUUAUAAUCACUAAUUAUUUAUAUACAUAUGUUUCAUAUGUAAUUAGGAUCAUUGUGUGUGUCUAAGUCUUCACUUGACACCAAGCACUUGUCUGAUCCUUCCGUACGAUAACAGCCCGUUCAAUUCCAGUCACAUACUGCAGGUGAGUUCAUACCCCUUAACUGUGACAACCCGAAAUUUUCCAUUCAAAUCAAACCACAUCAAUCCAAUGGAAGUAGAGCAGUUUCAGUGAAAAUUCAAAC